UUCAGAAAACACAUCCAUAACAUUGGGAUGCGCCAUCAGAAGGAUCUAUGACUGUUCAUUCGAGGGGGAGCUUACGUAGUUGUACUCUUUUUACCUUACUAUGGUUUUUCCCAUUGGGUUUUCCUGGAAAGGUUUUUAACGAGGCAACAAAGACGUUAAGCGAGAGCGGAUAGUGACACCGGCCCCCAAGGGGGAGUGUUACGAAAGACAAAAGAUAAGAUGAGCCGUUUUCGUUGAAUAUAUAUAAAGAUGUGGGGCCCGCUGCACUAUUUGCACAGUGAAUCCUACUUUUUUAUGUCUAUAUAAACGAACGUUUGUGUUCGACGAUUACACCAUCUCUUCUCCUUCUUAAUAACAAAUUCUCUAUUGUUAUCAGUGUUAUCUCCUAUCUACGGGUAUAAAAUUUUCCCUUAUUUAAAUUCCUGCGAUAUAAUAAAAUUUCAGUUCUUUUUAUAACAGUUACAACAAUUUAUUUUAUUUUUUCGAAAAAGUUUGUGGAUAUUUUGUUUUCCCUCAAUUACACUCCGACGUGGAACAACUAGCGAAAGAAAAAAACAAUCUACAGCUUCUUACCACAUCAUCGAAUGAGUGAAUGACAUGUGGGAUACAAAGCUCGAAAUGAAAUAGUCUCUCCACCAUUCAUCACUGACUACAUCUGUUCAAGUGUUCAUGAUCUCAACCGGAAAAGAGAGUUGCGGCCUGCAGUGGUGGCGGUCAGGCGGGUUUCUUAUCUGCUUUUGUGUUUCCAUUGGGUCAUUGGUCUUUGAGCUCAAAUUUAGUGAAGGUCUCAACCUUUUUUAGUCUUCGCUCCGAUCCGAGUGUUCCAUACAGCUCCGCAGUCGUCAAAGUGAGGUCUUUGAUCAGCUUGUAUCCAUGCACGACCCUGAUGAUGGCUUUCCGUUAAUGUGUUUCGCUCUACUCGGCUGAAGAAACUUGUGAUUCACAUAGUUUCUAGCUCUGAGAGGUGAACCAUCCAACGUUAAGUUUAAUUUGUUUUUCUUGUUCAAUGUACAUGCCUUUUCGGUUAUAUCUACAUGUAUGGAUCAGAUAUAAGACUUACGAGACACAAGGCUCAUCUUCUGCUUGGUAGGCACUGUGUUUAUUUUGAUAACUGAUGUCUGUUAAAAGCUCUCUGUGUCAUGUAAUGUUCAUGUUUACGGUUUUACCUAUAGAGGGUUUUAAUCCAUGAUACGUCUUUGUUACAUAUAGAGAGUUUUAAUCCAUGAUACGUCUUUGCAUCUUUCCAAAUGAAACCAUUCCUAUUUAGUACAUCUUCCGGAUGGACUUAUUUCACUUUGUUUAUUGUCCGCAGUCCCUGUCAACAUCUCAUUUGGAGGCAUGUUUGUAUGUUGUAAACGACCAUACAGUUCAGCUAUGCCUUCAGAAUAGUUAGUCUUGUUGCUGGAAGAACUAGCUUCAAAAUCACUUGAUCUAGAUAUAAAGGUUGAUGUGUUACAUUUUCCUAGAUAGAGCUUUUGCAGUAUAGUUCCUGUAACUUUCUAUACGUCUAUAAUGAACAUGAAUGGAUCUGAGGAUCUCCUACCGAACACCUCCACGACAUUAUUGCUUCUGAAAUCAGAGUCAGGUGUUUGUGUUUCCUACUUGUCAUAUAUUUAGUAUGUUUCCUACAAUUUGUUCAACUUAGGCAAAGAUUCAUUUAACAUUUUACCAAAAAAAAAAAAACUUAGGCAAAGAUUUGCGUGAUGGAUGCUCAGAUUGAUAGAGCUGAUUAGGAAUGAUUGAUAUUUCAGUUUAAUAUUCGCUUUAGAGAUUGGUUUUGGAUGUUACCCUGAUUUUGUCUUCUCCGUAGAGCAAAAGGUAAAGGGAGCCAGAAGAAGGCAAAGACCUCCAUGUUAAGACCUUUGAUUUAAUAGCUAGAAAUUGUGGAACUUAGGAUCAGAUAUUGUGACAAUUUUUUAAGUAUUUUUGUGACAGAGGAACAGAGGAAAAUUUGUAUUCUUUUGGCUCAUUUGAUGCCCCUUAGAAUACAAUUUGUUAGUCUUCAUCGAUGUCAUUAUUUGUAUUGCUGGCUAAAAUAAUCUUCUGAUGUUCAAUAUAUGUUGCCGGUUUCUGUUAAUAAUGUUUCAAGUUCAGAGCCGUCUCAGCCUCAUUAAUUAUGCUUUAUGUGGGACGCUGCCGUUGUUGAAGGUGAAAAGAUUCCUUGAAGAUGUUAUAUACCUCACAAGCAAGCUUAUACCCUUCACACGUUUUUGUCCUGGUGUGGGACGAACUGCUCAAGCUAAGAACAGACAUUUCCAAUGGUCAAGGUCGUUAGCUUGACAAGUCUGCAAAUUUGAUUUCAUCUCUGACUUGCUCAAGAACACUGACAGCAAUGCUGAGGUUAAAUGUCUGGAUGGGGAUGCCCUACCAAUCCCAGUAGCAAAGGCUCUCACAGCUGCUGCUGCUGUUUCUUCUUCUUCUUUUUGAAUUAAUACAGACUGAGACACAAUUGGCUUCGAGCACCAAGAGUCAAAGAAACUGUCUGCUUAAAUCUUUAGCCGAGACUAAUGUGUUUUAUUGUCCGUUUAGGCAACUUGUACUCUCAGCCUCCGUUUUGGUACGUUUUCUAUUUCUGUUGUACUCAAAGAAGUCGUCUGCUUAUAUCUGAAGCUUAAUGCAUAUAUGAGAAGAACCUUCAGCUUCAGUAAAUGUGUAGAUCGAUUGAUGCAAUAUGUAUCUUUGUUGGUGAAUGAAUUCAAAGGAGUUGGAACA